rnacentral:misc_RNA from 1 species
AAUCCACUUAAGCCUAGCUUAGUGUUGGGAAUCUACUGUUUACUGUAGUUCCUCAAAGCGAGCGGCGGAGUUGUGAUAUCCUCUGAGCUUAGUAGUUACUAUUCUAGCUUUCGAGUGGGAUCACUCCCCUUGCCGUUAAACACCCUUCUUUCUGAAU